rnacentral:rRNA from 1 species
GAAGUUUAAAAGGACGGCGUAAAGCUGUCGCUAAAAGGGAUGGGACCUGCGAUGCAUUAGCUAGUUGGUAAGGUAACAGGCUUACCAAGGCGAUGAUGCAUAGCCCGAGUUGAGAGACUGAUCGGGCCACAUUGGGACUGAGACACGGGCCAAACUCCUACGGGAGGCAGCAGUAGGGGAAUCUUCCACAAUGGACGAAAAGUCUGAUGGAGCAAACGCCGCGUGAGUGAAGAAGGUUUUCGGAUCGUAAAAAGCUCUGUUGUUGGUGAAGAAGGAUAGAGGUAGUAACUGGCCCUUUAUUUGACGGUAAUCAACCCAGAAAGUCACGGGCUAACUACGUGCCCAGCAGCCGCGGUAAAU